AGUCUCUUGUACACUUGUAGGACG
rnacentral:siRNA from 1 species